rnacentral:rRNA from 1 species
AUGCAGAUAAGCUUAUUCACAGAACUAAGGCUUUCCCUGAGAAGUUUACAUUCAAUUUUUUGCAAGAUACAUCGUGGGAAAAUACCAGAUCGGCGUCGGCCUAAACAGGGAAGGGUCCGUGCGCUCGAAAAAGCAAUGCGUGACUUUGUUCAAAGGAAGUCUGGACAAGUGGUCGCCCCUGAGAUUGGAAAAGAGUUCGAAUCACUUGCAGAGGCAUUUGAAUUUUACAAUCUUUAUUCUUGGGAGAUUGGCUUUGGCAUCCAAUAUGGUCAAUCUAGGACAAAUGCACAGAAGAGCAGAACCGUUCAAGACAUCAUUUGCGGUUGUGCAGGAAGGCCAAAGAAAGAAAACACAAAGUCAGUAGCCUGCAACUGCCAAGCCUUGAUCAGGCUACACCGCACAGCGGACAAUGGAUGGUAUAUACACGAUUUCAGACCUGAACACAACCACCAUUUGUCAUCAUCAUGUGGCGAGAAACUACAUUGGCCAUCACACAGGAACAUUGACACACACACUAAAGAUAUUGUCAAGCACUUGAGGAGCAACAACAUUGGGAUAACCAAGGUUUUUUGUGUCAUCGCAAGCUUCUUUGGGUCAAUGGAGAGUGUACCAUUCAACAAGAGAUCUCUCAAGUACAUGUGCAAGAGGAUGAACCAAGAGACUGCAGAUGAUGACAUCAGGAAAACAGUUCAGCUGUUCUCUAAACUUAAGAAGAAUGACCCAAUGUUUGCUGACGGUGUUCUUGUUGACUGUGACAGCAAGAUUCAGGCUCUUAUGUGGACCAAUGGAAGGAGUAGAUACCAAUACAAAAUGUUUGGCGAUGCAAUCACAUUCGACACAACAUAUCGUACAAACCAGUACGAUAUGCCAUUUGGCCUAUUUGUGGGGGUAAACCAUAAUUUUCAGAGCAUUAUAUUGGGAGGUGUUUUGAUGAGAAACGAGAAGCAAGAAUCAUUCGAGUGGGUAUUCAAUGAAUUUGUGUCAUUGAUGGGAGGCAAAGCACCGGUAACUAUCCUAAAAGGUAAAUACUUGUGCAAGGGUUGCAACUCAAAACAUAUAAUAAUUCUUGUACUUCAUUCUCAAGUACUGACCAUAUCUAUAAUAUCAGACCAAUGCCGUGCAAUGGAGUUGGCUAUUGCUGAAGUUUUGCCGGGAACGAAACACCGGUGGUGCAACUGGCAUGUGUUGCGUCGUGCAAAUGAGUUCCUUGGCCCUGUCUAUACACAGAACAAAGAUUUCAGGGAUGAACUACACAAGAUAUUGGAAUACAUGCUCACUGUAGAAGAGUUCGAAGCAGCUUGGGCCAAUUUAAUUCACAAGUAUGGUCUUCAGGAAUACCCAAUGUUGACACAGAUCUACGAGCUCCGAGAGAAAUGGGCAAAGCUAUAUUUUGCAGGUGUAUUCUGUGCAACGAUGACAAGUACUCAACGGUCAGAGAGCGCCAACCACAUGUUGAAGAAUUUUGUACCUGUUGGUGCCUCAAUGCACAUGUUUGUUAAGAAUUGCCAGAAACAGUUUGACCGUGAUUCAAAAGAAAAUUUUGCUGAGAAGAAAAGCCACUUGUUGAGCACAGUGCUCAAGACCGGUUUGCCUAUGGAGAGACAUGCUGGGAAGGUUUACACACCUGCGCUGUUCAAACUCUUCCAAGAAGCAUGCUUUAAAUCUGCAUCGUACUACGUCAAGAACACUCUGGUCAUAAACGAUACAUACCGUGUCACACACAUUUAUGCUGAGCGGAGAGAAAGCUGGUCAAAAACAUCUUACAAUGUCGAAGUGCAUCAACCUGAUAAUAUCUUCAAAUGCGAGCGUGGAAUGUAUGAGCAUAUGGGUUUGCUAUGCUGCCAUGCGAUCCGGGUAAUGGCACGCCUGAAGUUCACGAAGAUACCAGAAGCGCACAUCAUGAGGAGGUGGACUAAAAACGCAUGUGAAGAUUUACCUGAGCACUUGAAAAUUUACAAGGGAUGCAGCCCUAUACUUGAAUCAACAACAUUCAGGCAUACAACACUUUACACAACAACUCUUGAUAUUGUAAGGAUGGGUGACAGCAAUCCUGAGGCUUUCGACCUUGCCAUGACAAGGCUGUCAGAUACAAGGGAGGAUCUCAAAGAAAAAGCAACUGAGAAAGACGGCAAAGGGCUGGAGGAUAUACUAGGUAAAGAAAACAUUGAUAUUGACCAGGUUGAUGCAGGUGACAUUAAUCUCAAAUCAUCCAUGAGAGUAGAAUCUCGCAAAAGAGAUUGUGGCCGACCAACCAACGCAAGAUCUGGACCAGGGUAUGAAGUGAGCAAACCCAGAACCAAGUUUUGUUAAACUUGCAGGGGAAAGGGACACAACUUUGGGAAGUGCCCAACUAAUGACGGAUCAAACAAGAAGCAGAGGAAAGAACCAAAGUGCGGGAAGUGUGGCAUACUUGGACACAUCAGGACACAAUGCAAUAGAACAUUUGAAUCGUGGUUUAGAUGA